GUGAGUAACACGUGGGCAAUCUGCCCUGCACUCUGGGACAAGCCCUGGAAACGGGGUCUAAUACCGGAUACGAGCCUCCAAGGCAUCUUGGAGGUUGGAAAGCUCCGGCGGUGCAGGAUGAGCCCGCGGCCUAUCAGCUUGUUGGUGAGGUAACGGCUCACCAAGGCGACGACGGGUAGCCGGCCUGAGAGGGCGACCGGCCACACUGGGACUGAGACACGGCCCAGACUCCUACGGGAGGCAGCAGUGGGGAAUAUUGCACAAUGGGCGAAAGCCUGAUGCAGCGACGCCGCGUGAGGGAUGACGGCCUUCGGGUUGUAAACCUCUUUCAGCAGGGAAGAAGCGAGAGUGACGGUACCUGCAGAAGAAGCGCCGGCUAACUACGUGCCAGCAG
rnacentral:rRNA from 1 species